CUUGUUGGUGUGGGUAACGGCCCACCAAGGCACCGAUCCGUAGCUGGUCUGAGAGGACGAUCAGCCACACUGGGACUGAGACACGGCCCAGACUCCUACGGGAGGCAGCAGUGGGGAAUCUUGCGCAAUGGGCGAAAGCCUGACGCAGCGACGCCGCGUGGGGGAAGAAGGCCUUCGGGUUGUAAACCUCUUUCAGGAGGGACGAAGCUACUCGGGUUAAUAGCCCAGAGGGUGACGGUACCUCCAGAAGAAGCCCCGGCUAACUACGUGCCAGCAGCCGCGGUAAUACGUAGGGGGCAAGCGUUGUCCGGAUUUAUUGGGCGUAAAGAGCGUGUAGGCGGCCAGGUAGGUCUGCUGUGAAAACUCGAGGCUUAACCUCGAGAUGUCGGCGGAAACCAUCUGGCUAGAGUCCGGAAGAGGAGAAUGGAAUUCCCGGUGUAGCGGUGAAAUGCGCAGAUAUCGGGAAGAACACCCGUGGCGAAGGCGGUUCUCUGAGACGGUACUGACGCUGAGACGCGAAAGCGUGGGGAGCGAACAGGAUUAGAUACCCUGGUAGUCCACGCCGUAAACGAUGGGUGCUAGGUGUGGGGGGUGUCGACUCCCUCCGUGCCGCAGCUAACGCAUUAAGCACCCCGCCUGGGGAGUACGGCCGCAAGGCUAAAACUCAAAGGAAUUGACG
rnacentral:rRNA from 1 species